rnacentral:rRNA from 1 species
CGCAGCCGCGGUAAUUCCAGCUCCAAUAGCGUAUAUUAAAGUUGUUGCAGUUAAAAAGCUCGUAGUUGAAUUUCGGGAUCAGUACGCUGGUCGUGCCUUCGGUAUGAACUGGUGUCACUGGUUCCUCCCUUCUGAAGAACCGUCAUGCCAUUCAGUUGGUGUGGCGGGAAAUCAGGACUGUUACUUUGAAAAAUUAGAGUGUUUAAAGCAGGCUCGCGCUUGAAUACAUUAGCAUGGAAUAAUGAAAUAGGACGUUUGACCCUAUUUUGUUGGUUUCUAGGAUCGACGUGAUGAUUAAUAGGGAUAGUUGGGGGCAUUAGUAUUCAAUUGUCAGAGGUGAAAUUCUUGGAUUUAUUGAAGACUAACUACUGCGAAAGCAUUUGCCAAGGAUGUUUUCAUUAAUCAAGAACGAAAGUUAGGGGAUCGAAGACGAUCAGAUACCGUCGUAGU